AUGCGCAGAGCUCAGAUUCAAUGGCUGGCAGCUCAAGUUCUGCUGCCGAAAAGCACGUUGACAUAUCAUGAUCGACAAAAUAGUGGAAAAGCUACAGUAUUGGGUGAUGCUGCACGAGUACUGCGAGAUUUAAUUACUCAAGUUGAAUCUCUUAGAAAGGAGCAAUCUACUCUUCUAACUAAGCAACAAUAUGUCGGUUCAGAGAAGACCAAGCUGCAAGAUGAGAAUACUACACUCAGAGCCCAAAUAAUAGAACUGCAGAACGAGCUUCGUGCAAGGAUCGGAAACAAUAGCGUGAAUCUAUGCAGCCUUGGGGUGCUACAUCCAAUAGGGAGAAGCUACACUACUAAUUUAGCAACCCAUCCAACACGACAUGAUACAUGGAGCAAUGCUUCUAAUUCAAGCAUCAUGCACAUGGUGCCCCCAACCAACACACCAUCCGCACUGCAGAAUCAGCAGCAUCACUCUAUUGCUUCUGGUCAGGUUGCAUCACGGCCUCAGGAGCACCAGCUCUUCCCGGGGACAUCAGCAUCAUCAUGUUCCCGGCAUAGAAGCAACCCAGUUACUUCUUCGAGCCUUGCGGAUUCCUUACCUGGACAGCUUCACCUCAGCCUUCCACCAACAUCCCAAGAAGAAAGCAGCGGCGGCGGAGGCGCACCGGGAAACAGAAAAGAACGAAAUACAGGUUAG
rnacentral:rRNA from 1 species